rnacentral:rRNA from 1 species
AAAGUUGAAAAGAACUUUGAAGAGAGAGUUCAAGAGUACGUGAAACCGUUCAGGGGUAAACCUGAGAAACCCAAAAGAUCGAAUGGGGAGAUUCAUCGUCAGCUCAUUUUGUAUAUAUGCAAGUUAUGAUAUGGGUUACUACUUGUAGUAUUGCUUAUACAUUCUUGUAUAUUUAAUUGCAAGAUGUUGUCGGCGUGCACUUCUCCCCUAGUAGGACGUCGCGACCCGUUGAGUGUCGGUCUACGGCCCGAGUGGUAGCCUUUAAUUCUUGUAAUUAAAGACCCUUGGUGUUUCCUGACUGACUGCUCGGCGGUAUUCGUAUGGUAUUAAGCCGCAUUUAUGCGUUUAUAUCCGUCGCAAGCGCGAUUAAUUUUUGGUAGUACGGACCCAGUACCGUCGCUAUAAUUAAUCAGCUGUUGGUUGUACGGUAUUCUAAAACUGGCUUUUAAAAUAAAUACCGGUCAGCGAUGCUACUGCUUUGGGUACUUUCAGGACCCGUCUUGAAACACGGACCAAGGAGUCUAACAUGUACGCGAGUCAUUGGGAUUUUUUAAUAAAUUAAACCUAAAGGCGUAAUGAAAGUAAAGGUCGUCCUUGUGUCGAUUGAGGGAGGAUNAGUUGUGUUAAGAUACAGCUUCGCACUCCCGGGGCGUCUCAUUCUCAUUACGAGAA